GCCGGUUUGGCUCAGUGGACAGAGUAUCAGCCUGCGGACUGAAGGGUUCCAGGUUCGAUUCCGGGCACAGGUU
rnacentral:tRNA from 1 species